rnacentral:rRNA from 1 species
AUUAAACGCUGGCGGCAUGCCUUACACAUGCAAGUCGAACGGCAGCACGGGGCAACCUGGUGGCGAGUGGCGAACGGGUGAGUAAAGCAUCGGAACGUGCCCUGGAGUGGGGGGAUAACGUAGCGAAAGUUACGCUAAUACCGCAUAUUCUGUGAGCAGGAAAGCAGGGGAUCGCAAGACCUUGCGCUCUGGGAGCGGCCGAUGUCGGAUUAGCUAGUUGGUGGGUAAAGGCCUACCAAGGCGACGAUCCGUAGCGGGUCUGAGAGGAUGAUCCGCCACACUGGGACUGAGACACGGCCCAGACUCCUACGGGAGGCAGCAGUGGGGAAUUUUGGACAAUGGCGGAAGCCUGAUCCAGCCAUGCCGCGUGAGUGAAGAAGGCC